rnacentral:rRNA from 1 species
AAGCAUAUCAAUAAGCGGAGGAAAAAGAAACUAACAAGGAUUCCCCUAGUAGCGGCGAGCGAAGCGGGAAGAGCUCAAAUUUAUAAUCUGGCGCUUUCAGCGUCCGAGUUGUAAUCUCUAGAAGUGUUUUCCGCGUUGGACCGCACAUAAGUCUGUUGGAAUACAGCGGCACAGUGGUGAGACCCCCGUUCACGGUGCGGAUGCCCAAUGCUUUGUGAUACACUUUCGAAGAGUCGAGUUGUUUGGGAAUGCAGCUCAAAUUGGGUGGUAAAUUCCAUCUAAAGCUAAAUAUUGGCGAGAGACCGAUAGCGAACAAGUACCGUGAGGGAAAGAUGAAAAGCACUUUGGAAAGAGAGUUAACAGUACGUGAAAUUGUUGGAAGGGAAACGCUUGAAGUCAGACUUGCUAUUCGGGGCUUGCUCCGAGUUGCAGGCCAGCAUCAGUUUUUCGGGGCGGAAAAUCACGGAUUGAAGGUAGCAGUUUCGGCUGUGUUAUAGCUUUCCGUUGGAUACGUCCUGGGGGACUGAGGAACGCAGUGUGCUUUUAGCGAGGGCUUCGGCUCUUUCACACUUAGGAUGCUGGUGGAAUGGCUUUAAACGACCCGUCUUGAAACACGGACCAAGGAGUCUAACAUGCUUGCGAGUAUUUGGGUGUCAAACCCGGAUGCGUAAUGAAAGUGAAUGGAGGUGGGAACCGCAAGGUGCACCAUCGACCGAUCUGGAUUUUCUAAGAUGGAUUUGAGUAAGAGCACGUAUGUUGGGACCCGAAAGAUGGUGAACUAUGCCUGAAUAGGGCGAAGCCAGAGGAAACUCUGGUGGAGGCUCGUAGCGGUUCUGACGUGCAAAUCGAUCGUCAAAUUUGGGUAUAGGGGCGAAAGACUAAUCGAACCAUCUAGUAGCUGGUUCCUGCCCGAAGUUUCCCCUCAGGGAA